rnacentral:rRNA from 1 species
AGCGAAAGGGAAAGAGGCCAAACCAGAGAUAGCAAUAUCUUUGGGGUUGCGGACUGCAAAAUUGAUUCAAUAUUUUUAGCAGAAGUGUAUGGGAAGACACACCAUAGUAGGUAAUAGUCCUGUAAGCGAAAAGGAUAUUGACAAGGCAGGAUCCAGAGUACCACCGGACACGAGGAACCCGGUGGGAAGCCGGGGGGACCACCCUCCAAGCCUAAAUACUACCUGAUGACCGAUAGUGAAAAGUACAGUGAUGGAAAGUUGAAAAGAACCCCGGAAGGGGAGUGAAAAAGAAUCUGAAACCCUAUGUUUACAAGCUGCUAAAGCACCAUAUGAGUGCGAUAGCGUACUUUUUGUAGAACGGUCCGGCGAGUGUAUGUUGCAAGCGAGGUUAAGGUGUUAAGCACUGAAGCCGAAGGGAGACCGAGUGUGAAUAGCGCGUACAGUUUGCAGUAUACGACCCGAAACCGGGUGACCUAACCAUGGACAGGUUGAAGUGGAAGUAAAAUUCCAUGGAGGACCGAACCCACGUCUGUUGAAAAAGGCGGGGAUGAGCUGUGGUUAGCGGUGAAAUUCCAAUCGAACUCGGAUAUAGCUGGUUCUCAUCGAAAUAGCUUUAGGGCUAGCCUCAGGAUAGUUUAGCGGAGGUAAAGCACUGAAUGGGCUAGGGGGCUUCACGGCUUACCGAACCCUAUCAAACUCUGAAUGCCGCAUAAAUGUUUCCUGGGAGUCAGACUGCGUGAGAUAAGUUUCGUAGUCAAAAGGGAAAGAGCCCAGACCUACAGCUAAGGUCCCUAAAUGAAUUUAAGUGGAAAAGGAUGUGCAGUUGCGUAGACAACUAGGACGUUGGCUUAGAAGCAGCCACUCAUUUAAAGAGUGCGUAAUAGCUCACUAGUCGAGUGAUUGUGCGCCGAAAAUGUAACGGGGCUAAAAUUCAUACCGAAGCUUAGGAAUGAUAGUAAUAUUGUUGGUAGAUGAGCGUUGUGUAAGUCUGCGAAGCUACACCGAAAGGAGUAGUGGAGAUAUCACAAGUGAGAAUGCCGGAAUGAGUAGCGAGAAUUAUGUGAGAAUCAUAAUGGUCGAAAAUCUAAGGUUUCUUGAGGAAGGUUCGUCCGCUCAAGGUAAGCCGGGAGCUAAGGCGAGGCCGAGAGGCGUAGUCGAUGCACAUACGGUAAAGAUUCCGUAGCCACCGAAGUCGUUAAAUACAGGGACACAGGAACAUAGCCUAACCCCACCGUUGGUUGAGUGGGGCGUAAGGGAGCGAAAAAUAGUAGCGAAGUAGGUGAUUGUACACUGGCGAGAAAAGCUGUAUGAAUUGACAAGGUGCCCGUACCGCAAACCGACACAGGUAGAUGAGGAGAGAAUCCUAAGACCAGCGGGAGAAGUGUUGUUAAGGAACUCGGCAAAAUGACCCCGUAACUUCGGGAUAAGGGGAGCCUACGAGAGUAGGCCGCAGAGAAUAGUCUCAAGCGACUGUUUAGCAAAAACACAGGUCUAUGCUAAAUCGAAAGAUGAUGUAUAUGGGCUGACGCCUGCCCGGUGCUGGAAGGUUAAGGGGAAGUGUUAGAGCAAUCGAAGCACUGAACUUAAGCCCCAGUAAACGGCGGCCGUAACUAUAACGGUCCUAAGGUAGCGAAAUUCCUUGUCAGGUAAGUUCUGACCCGCACGAAUGGCGUAACGACUUGAGAGCUGUCUCAACAACAUACCCGGCGAAAUUGAAGUACUGGUAAAGAUGCCAGUUACCCGUGAUAAGACGGAAAGACCCCAUGGAGCUUUACUGUAACUUGAUAUUGAAUUUUUGUAUUACAUGUACAGGAUAGGUGGGAGACAGAGAACUAAUGCCGCCAGGUGUUAGGGAGUCGAUGUUGGGAUACCACUCUUGUAAUAUGAAGGUUCUAACCUGCACCCGUGAAUCCGGGUGGGGGACACUGUCAGGUGGACAGUUUGACUGGGGCGGUCGCCUCCUAAAAGGUAACGGAGGCGUUCAAAGGUUGGUUCAGCACGGACGGAAAUCGUGCAACGAGUGCAAACGCAUAAACCAGCCUAACUGCGAGACCGACAAGUCGAGCAGUAACGAAAGUUGGAGUUAGUGAUCCGGCGGUAUGAGAGUGGAAUUGCCGUCGCUCAACGGAUAAAAGCUACCCUGGGGAUAACAGGCUGAUCUCCCCCA